UGGGGAAUAUUGCACAAUGGGCGCAAGCCUGAUGCAGCCAUGCCGCGUGUGUGAAGAAGGCCUUCGGGUUGUAAAGCACUUUCAGCGGGGAGGAAGGCGUUAAGGUUAAUAACCUUAUCAAUUGACGUUACCGACAGAAGAAGCACCGGCUAACUCCGUGCCAGCAGCCGCGGUAAUACGGAGGGUGCAAGCGUUAAUCGGAAUUACUGGGCGUAAAGCGCACGCAGGCGGUUGAUUGAGUCAGAUGUGAAAUCCCCGGGCUUAACCCGGGAAUUGCAUCUGAUACUGGUCAGCUAGAGUCUUGUAGAGGGGGGUAGAAUUCCAUGUGUAGCGGUGAAAUGCGUAGAGAUGUGGAGGAAUACCGGUGGCGAAGGCGGCCCCCUGGACAAAGACUGACGCUCAGGUGCGAAAGCGUGGGGAGCAAACAGG
rnacentral:rRNA from 1 species